GGUGGAAGCAAGUGUCUGUGCCUUGGUGAGUGGAGUGAUGGAGGGAGCAGUUAAAGCCAGUGCUUCAGGAUGGCAGGGCUUGUGGCUGCCACCAGAGCAGGACAACAUGAGGGCUUCCUGAAUCUCAUGGCAGUGGAGGAGGCCAAAAGGAGCCUGCAGGGGGAUGCUUCAGUUUUCACUACGUGGGUGUGAACCGUGUCAAGCAGCGCAGACCACGUGAAUCAGUGCCGCGUGGUCCAGCUGCACAACGCCUUCCCAUCAUGAGGGGAAAAUGAUGGGAAGAACUAGGACGUGCUGAAAUUCCCUGGUUUUGACUGUGAUGUUAUUUGAGGCCAACUAACCCCCUCUUCUAGGAUUUAACCCCAGAAAAUGCCACAGGAUAUUGGGCAAGUUAUUUAUAGUAUGUUCCUCUUAUGGCAUAGACUCAGAGGAUGCAUGACUUCAAUUGUCCUUGUUUGCCACCUGAGCUUUAGAAACCUAAGAGAAGGAACCGUAACAUCUUAAUCCUGGAUUAAGCAACUUCUGUAUCUCUAGAAUGACAUUCCAUGUUAACAUUGCAGCCAUGAACUUACUCCCGAGGGACAGCUUGGCACUUUUGUCUAUUCAUGCAGUUGUCUAAAACUGCAUUCAAAUGUCCCUUCUGGAAGCAACCUUGCAUAUGUGUUGGCAGACUCAAAAAAUCUCCUGACAUCUGUGGCUUGCAAAGUUUUGUGCAUUCACGGUGUAGACUGUGGGAUUGGCGUUUAUCCACUUAUUCCCAAGUAUAGGCACUUGUACUCUUUUUAAUAAAAUACCUAUUGCAACAAUGACCUGGAACAACAGAAAAUGUUCAGCUGAAAGGUGCUGUCCCAUUUUUCCAAGCUAAUCCCAUUGUAUACCCAAAUGCCUUGGAUAUGAUGCAAAAGGUGAAGAAAUGAGAUUUUGUUUAGGAAUGGAGAGAAGUCAACCCCUUGGGCGUGAAUACCACAGUUGCCACAAGCCAGGCAACAGAUUCUCUAAGAAGGGAAAGUCAAAGAGGGCAAACCACAUAGAGGGCAAAAAAAAAAGCAUAUGUGUUUAUAUUGCUCCUUAAAAUCAACAUAAUGCAGCAGUGGUUUGUUCAGGUAGCAAUUAAAAAUAAUAAAUAGCUAAUGUUUUUUCUUUAAAGCUAACUGUGAAAAGCUUUUAUGAAUUGUUCUUUGUAUGUUUAAGUUCUCCUGCUCUGCAAUAUGCUUCAUGUCCUACAUAGUGGUAUUUUCUGGUGCCUGAAUCGAUAUUUUGUCAGUGAUCAAGUGCUUUUGCUAUGAAAAGGCUUUUAGUACUGUUAUGAAGCAGUCAAUAACCAUGACUGACCUUUCAAAACUCACAAGCCUUUACUCCAGCCACUUUGAAAAAGUGAAUCUAUAUAAUCUACUUGUGUUUCUUGGUAAGUAGGCUUUAAAAAGAGUAUAUGAACAGCAGCAGAGACCUGGCCCUUUGGCAGACCCCCUUGUAUCAAAUGGGCAGGUUUUGUUUCAGAGUAACAUGCUUGUCCUAUGCAGAAGCUGAUGUCCAUUAGCACAGAUGAUGAAAGCGUGUCAAAACCCUGCUCCUGUCCCAAACAAUGCUUUAUUUUGAAAUCUAACUUUGCUAUGUGGUUUUGAACAGAUUUCUGACUGUUCCUGGAAUAUUCUGGUUUGAUUAUACCUGAAGACUUCUUCAUGGUGUUAGGGGGUAUUAAGCAUUUUCUUUUAUCCAGGCAAUUGGUGCCUCACAGAGUCUGUAGAGAGUGGAAUACAUGCCUAGGCUGACCUGCUUCAGGGCACAUAGUCCCAGUGGCAGCCUUGGCUGGAUGCAAUCCCUUUCUCCAGAAGUGGAGGUCUUGGAAAGGCAGAGCAGACAUCAGGAUCUGUAAGAGGGGACAGAUUUUUUUACUACUUUUUUUAG